rnacentral:rRNA from 1 species
UGGACUGGAAGAAUGUCUAUUACAGAUCUAAUUGAAGUAGCGAUAUCCAGCUGUAUCCUGGGGCUGAUGAGAGUAGGGUUUCUGGACAACUAAACAGAUCCAGAGUUAGUCGAUCUAAUCUCAAUAAUGGGAGAAAGGGAGUACAGUUGAUAUUCUGUAACUGACAACAGUUCGCGGCAACGCAUACUAUUUU